UCCGUAAAGCUGAGUUAUAUUACUCGUUACACAGUCUGAUACACAUCAGGAGUGUUAUUCCGCAUAAGCGUAUUAUAUAUUUAAACGGUUAUCUCUAAAUUACGUUUGACCACAUUGACCGGAUCCAAUAUAUUGUGGGUAAAAGGUAUACACUGUUUGAUAAUCACGCUAAACACGACAGAAAUUACACAAAGCCAUGAACUUGUGAGAGAAAAUGCAUUUUAAAGUGUUUGCCAAAAAAAUUCAAAAUUCUUUAUUAUUUAGUAUUAACUUUAUUUCCAAUGAAAUGUAAAAUAAUAGUCAUAAAAAAGCAAAAUAAGGGAAAUCUUUUCAUUCAAAUGAUUAUUAUUGUUAUCAGUUACACUUUUAUAGCAAUUUAUUUCUAAAGCAUUCUCUGUUUUUCCUUUAACGCUAAUGGAAAAUGUUUGAGAAAUCGAUAAUUUUGCAAAAUUAAUUACCUUUUUUUUGCAUUUGAUUAUGCGACAUCGAGAAUAUGAUCCAAGUCUUCAUUUUGAUAGAUUGUUGAUAAUUUUUGCUAAAAUAUUAUUUAUUGUUUUUUAAUUUAUGGGCAAAAUUAGAUUUUUUAUGGAAGUUUUACAUGUUCCGAUUCGAUUUUCGUUAUUGCAUAUGAUUUUUCGUAUUUCGAAAAUUCCAUUGAAAAAAAUCCCUUUAAGGAAAAUGGACUUUUAAAAAUUAGUUGUGAUGAAUUGAUAAGCAAAGAUAUAUGUUAUUGACUAAAAUAAUCAUAUCUAAUAUCGAUGAUUGGUUACGUUGUUAAUGGUACAAUACUGUAAAGUUGCUUUGAAUUGCGAUCACGAAUUAUCGCAUUUUUCUCCCAUAAGGACUUGUUUUGCUAUAAAUGUGAUCAUUCAUGAAUUCGCUUCUUUAUUUCGACGAUAAAUACACGUGAAAUAUGAAGCAUUUUUUAUUGAGAAAAUACACUCGCGCAUUUUAUCGAAAACUAAACACUUUCGAAUAAAAUAAGUAAAGUGUAGAUUGAUCUUGCGUUCAAGCGCGUUCAGGACUCACACGUCCAUAUGUAUAUUUUGCAUCGUAUGCCUUAUGAGAAGGUCGUUUUUUGGCCAAUGUUUCAGAUUUUCCCUCACCAGUCCUUCCCCCGUCCGUACAUCGGAUUUUGUUUUGUCGAUGUACUUAUUUUAUUGUUUCUAGAGUGGUGAAACUUACAAUAUAUGAAUAAUUAAGCAAUCAUGUAUAUCUGGGUAUAUCCAUUUUUUUACUAAGCCGGAUUUAUACAAUCUUUUUAAGUAAAAAAGCAAUUUUUCAACAAGAAACUUGAAAACAAUGCUGCUAGCCAUGUGAGUGUUGUCUCAAUAUUGAAAAAGAAAGUUAAAUUCCACACAUUGAUAUUUAAGUGCAGGUUAAAUUUGAGAAUAUUCUUAAAAAGUGGAGAGCGGGUGCAUAUGUUUGCUUAAGUUGUUUAAGAGUGUGUUUUUUUUGUGUCGUUGCAGUAAUAGUAUCAAUAUUAUGAAGUAUUAAGAAGUGUUUGAAAUUACUUUGUAGCAAAAUGCGAUGAUGUUAUGACGACAAUUGCGAUGAUGAUGAUAAUGAUGAUGAUGAUGAUGAUGAUGAUGAUGAUGAUGAUGAUGAUGAUGAUGAUGAUGAUGAUGAUGAUGAUGAUGAUGAUGAUGAUGAUGAUGAUGAUGAUGAUGAUGAUGAUGAUGAUGAUGAUGGUGAUGAUGAUGAUGAUGAUAAUGAUGAUGAUGAUGAUGAUGAUGAUGAUGAUAAUAAUGAUGAUGAUGAUGAUGAUGAUAAUGAUGAUGAUGAUGAUGAUGAUGAUGAUGAUGAUGAUGAUGAUGAUGAUGAUGAUGGUGAUCAGGAAGAUGAUGAUGAUGAUUAGAUAUGUUUCUAAGAUAUUAUUUGAAGUAUUGAGGGAAUAUUCAGUCGACCUGUACAUUUUUAUACGAGAUAUGUUUAAGUAUACAAAUAUAUCAAGUGUCCACAUAAUCAUGUUGAUCAAUACAGCAAGUUACGCAAGUAAAUCUGCACUGUUAAACUGAUAAAUAUCACACGGUUAUCUCUUGUAAACAAACGUUUAUAUAACCCCAACACGGUAAGUGUGUAUCAGUUUUUCUGUGAGUAUAACACAAAUAAGCAUUGUGUGCACAGGUUUCGCUUUUCUACUAUCAUGUGUGCUUAUGCGCGUUCUCAUUUUGCGCCAAUACAUGUUUGAGACGCGUCCACUAAACGUUUGCAAACAUCAUGAGCAAACUCGAACACCUGCGCAACCUGGUUCAACUGCGCCUCCGAUGCAAGAUGCAAUACCAAAUAUUGAGCAGUUUAACCAAGGGUUUUCACACGAGUUGCGCGGUAUACAGGUGCAACAAACAACAGAAAAUGUUCCUCAAAGCACGCCAGUGCAUGACCAGUUACCGCCUCCGUAUGAUCCUGAAUGGGCACCAAAAACAUAGAACAUAAAAGACGGGAGCAUUUUUAAGCACAUUCGAAUGAUUCUGCUGUGAAAUGUGAUUGAAAUCUAACUACUUUACUUUUAGUUGCAAUUUAUACCAACUCGAAUGGAAAUGGUAUAAUGGCGGUUUUGUAAGACAAGCAUAUUAAUUAAUUGAUGCGCAUGAAAAUUAAAUUGUAAUGCUACUAUGUUCAAUUUGUGCAGGUAUACUAGUGAUAUGAUUGAAAAUACUGCACUGUGUAGUUGAUAGUUUCAUUUAUUAAUCACCUAGUAAUGUUUGCAGAACAAUUACUAAAGAAGCACGACACAAUAUUCAAUUUGAUCAUUAAAGAAUAUGUUACACAUUCAGCGGAUCUUUAUACUAUGUGUCCACUGGUCUACAAAACAAGUAGUGAUAUUUAAAUUUACAUUUAUCUAAGGCUUAUUAAAUUCAUGUAUUAAACGAAAAACGGUUCUCAUCCAAUAUAAUAGUGCAUGGUAGUACAUUUGUGGAUAGUGUCUAGUUAUGUUCCACACCAAACGUCAAUUACACAUAUUAUGAUUGAAUUAUGAUAAUUGAUCUGGGUACAUAUUUGCGAUUGACAUCGUUCUUUGAGGCAAAUAAUUAUCUGUGAAAGUAUGUUUGAUUUAUGAGAACAUAUAUUAACAACGGCUACCUACGCGACAUUUGCUAAUUGCACAGAGCGGUUAGAUUUUUGUCUUGUCAUUACCAACGUGUUUAUUCAAUUAAGACUGUAUCUGUUUUCGUCGUCUGAUUUGUAACUAUUGUCUACCAAUACCGACAAAGGGUGUUGUGCCAGAUUAAUAUAUUGAGGAUAUUUCAAACUUACUAGCGGCAAUAUCAGGUUGCACUUUGUGGGAUUCAUAGUUAAAAUAUAAUUGAUGUUAACACCCUGGUAAGUUGUGUUGUUGUUGUUGUUUUUUUCAAAUACAAUUUUAAAACAUU